CACUGCGCACGCGUGCUCGGACCCGCUGCCUGCAAGGUGUGCAAGUGAAAGUUGCUGAGUCGUAUCCGACUCUUUGCCACCCCGUGGACUAUACUGUCCAUGGAAUUCUCCAGGCCAGAAUACUGAAGUGGGUAGCCCGUUCCCUUCUCCAGGGAAUCUUCCAACCCAGGGAUGGAACCCAGGUCUCCCUCAUUGCAGGCGGAUUCUUUACCAGCUGAGCCACAAGGGAAGCCCAGCAAAGUGUGCAAACUUCUUCCUAAAUGGCCUAACGAGGCCCCUGCACCCACUAUGUUCACCUAUAAUUGAACUACCGUCUCCACCCCCACCAGAGGUGCAGGAGAAAGACAGGACCUGGUGCUGGCCCGCUGUGUCAUGCUAGAGCAACUGGACCAAGGCUUUCAUUCCACUGACGGAUCGCGUUCAUAUCGAGCAUCAUUUGGCAGCUCAGAGAAAUUCAUCCCCAGCCCUCACAGAGAGUUGGAAGGCUGGCCUGGCCCCAAGGACACCUCAGCAAAUCUGCUACCCAGCUCCAGUGGCGGGCAGCCAGGCGUCUGGUCCCUCGGCCUCAGUCAUGCAGCUGUGACUGACAGGCAGCAGGGAGCUGAAGAUCUGCUCUGGCUUCUAGAAAAACAGCAGCAGCAGCAGGCUCCACUGGAAAGCAGCCCUGCCAGCACGUCUGAUGCUGACGCCCUGCUGCCCAGGGACCCACACCGGAGGGUAAAACAGCAGCCACUUCCAAGUCCUCCACGGCCAUUAUCGCCCAUGCCAGGGGUGAGAAGCAGAGCCACAACAUAGAGUUUGGGAAGCAUUUAACCUUCCUCCUGUGCUGGAAGCUGGUACAGGAUUAGAAAACAAUAUGUGUAACAAUCAGGAAGGCUUAAAGGACUUUCAGAACUAGAACAUUAGAUGAAGUCACAGCUUGCUCGCUUGCUGUCUUUCAGUGAAUGCAAGAAC